GGACACACCUGGGGCGUUUGAACUUUUCACAGAGGUCGUUGGAACAUUCUGUCGUUAUUCCAGGAGCUGUUAUUUUUUUCCAUGAGAGUUCCGGGAGCGGCCACCUGCAGGGGACGGGAGCACCCAAGGUGACGAGCCCAUGUUCUUAUAGACAGCUAGUAAUUUUUUACUCUUCAGAAGCAAUAUCUGGGAAAUAUUAACAGUGACACAGGUUUUUGUUAUGUGUAAGUGACUGGUGAAAGGUAAAUGAAUUGUAAGGGAUUCUCCUGUGUAGCAUGGGCUGAACAACAAACAAAAUGAAAAGAACUAGCACGGACACCUUCUUAAUGCAGCAAGAGCCCUCAUCCAGUGGCUGAUGGAAGCAGAGACAGACAUCCACAAAAAUAUACUCAAC
rnacentral:lncRNA from 1 species